ACCCGGGGCCCGUUUCAAGAAGGAGGUUUAACAAACUUUGAGUUUAAACCUGAACUCUUAGUUGACUGACUCAGAGUUAAGCGCGUGCACCGCAACGAUACAAAGCCCUGAUCAACGGAGUGAAGAUAUUUCGAGUCACCAUGGCAACAGGACAACAACGGACGUCCGGAAGACUUGGAAGAAAAUCGCUGCUCGAGUCAAUGCCCAACAGAAAGAAGGCAGAGACUAGAACAACUGGUGGAGGACCUGCACCUCCACCACUGACGCAUGCAGAGGAGAAGGCACUCAGAACACUGGAAAGCAGAGGCUGAAGGAAUUCCUGGAGGGAGUUUCAUCAGAACCCGUCACUCCCCAGCAUACAAGUGCAUGUGUAAAAUAUUCUGAUGGUAAUAUAUGAAUCCUCCUGUCACAACAGAAGCCCAGGAUGUUGUGAGUAUCAUACUAAAUAAAGCUUAAAUUAUGAUAAGCAGUAUUAUAAAGUGUAAUAUUAAUACAGUUUAUACUUAUAUACUAUAUAUAUAUAUACUAUAUACUAUACUUAUAUGAGGAACUAUGUCUUGUAACUCUAAAUCUUCUGUAUUUUAAGUUAUUGAGUUAUAUAAACUAAAUCUCUUGGAAAUGUUAUACUUGUACCACCAGAUUGAAAAGACGGAUCUAGAAAUUGAAAUUCCCAAACACAAGCUGGAGAUGAGUGUAUAGUUAAAAGUGAAUUGUAUGAAUUAUUGGAAGAAUCAUAAAAUCUAACAAUUGCCUUUGUAUUUGUAGGAAAUGAAACAAAAACAAAUAAAUUAUGAUUUGCAUCUAUUCAGUUUCUUUAAUUGGUGGUGGUGGUGAUGGUUGAUUAAGACAUUAAAGCAAAUCACAUCUCUGACUGUCCAUCCAUUCUGCAGAUUACCGUGAUGGAGGAAGUCUUCCUCAGGGUCUUGUAUUUGUAGGGCAGGGUGUUGCUCCUCUCUAAUAAUUGCAAUAAUGUGGAGAACAACACAUGUCACAUUAAUGUCACAGGCCUCUCAG